rnacentral:rRNA from 1 species
GAUGAACGCUGGCGGCGUGCCUAAUACAUGCAAGUCGAACGAACAGACGAGGAUCUUGCUCCUCUGACGUUAGCGGCGGACGGGUGAGUAACACGUGGAUAACCUCCCUAUCAUACUGGUAUAACUUCGGGACACCGGAUCUAAUCCCGGAUAAUCUAUUGAACCGCAUUGUUCAAUAGUGAAAGACGGUUUUGCUGUCACUUAUCGAUGGAUCCGCGCCGCAUUAGCUAGUUGGUAAGGUCACGGCUUACCAAGGCAACGAUUCGUGGCCGACCUGAGAGGGGGAUAGGCCACCUUGGAAGUGGGACACGGUCCAGACUCCUAAGGGAGGCAGCAGUAGGGAAUCUGCGGCAAUGGGCGAAAGCAUGACGGAGCAACGCCGCGUGAGUGAUGAAGGUGUUCGGAUCGUAAAACUCUGUUAUGAGGGAAGAACAAAUGUGGAAGUAAAUAUGCACGUCUUGACGGUACUUAAUCAGAAAGCCACGGCUAACUACGUG